CAGGCUUUACACAAAUAUUCCUUAAUAGUUGGUUCAUUAUCAGUGGAUCACAAGUCAAAGAAAUGCCAAAGCUGCCCGAAUUUUCUGGGUUUUCCAUAGGACUAGCUGUGAAGAACUUGGUCAUCUUCUGCUUCUCUUGUCAUUCAAAUGUGAGACCCUAAAUGAAGAGUCUGCAAUCCAGGUGGUUAGAGUUAUGGAUUAUCAGCAACCACGCAUCAUCUCCUUGUGCAUGCAUUUUCACUUCUGUACAAGUUAGACCACUCCUUAGUAUCACAGAAAGAGAAGUGGAGUGAAACAUUCCUUGCUACCUUUCAAACAUUUUUUCAGAGAAGAACUUUCAGAACUAGAAGAUACUAUUUUGUUCAGAGAUCCAUUCUGAUGAAAACUAUCACACUGUGACGUAAUCAGCUAUGCUGAUUCACCCAGAAAGUAUUAGAAGAGUUAUGGUUUCUUGCUGCACAUCUAUCUAAUGGAAGAGAGAGAAGAUGGGAAGUAUGAUUUGUCUUUGAUACAUUUAAUAUUUGGAUAACUAAUAUAUGGAGAAACAAUCGUAUUUUACUAAGCUCAAGGCUUAGAUAUUUAAACAGCACUGAAAGAAGAUUGUCUGCGCCUUGCGUUGUAACAAAAUCAGAACUCAAAUCAUUUUUAAUUCAGGAUGAGAAUUUAGGCACAAAUGAGACGCUUCUUUUGUCUGCAAAGGCCUCUGAAGGCACCAUUCAGUACUGUGAACAGGAAUAGACACAUUAUUUUGAGUGUGUGCCUUUUUCCUGGGCCUAGAUUAAAAAGAAAUGGAUCCAGAUGCUGUUGACAGCUGUGGGACAAGUUCUCCAUGUUAAACAAGAAUGACAAGUGGCAUUAACAGCACCAGAACAGAAAAAAAAGAGGACAUAAAGAGAAAAUGUCCCCCUCUGCCCUUCUACUGCCACAUGGUGUGGAGACUUGAUGUUGGAUCUCACAAGAUGGUCAGAGCCUGGCAUCGAAUGUGCGCAGACAAGAAACAGAAAAUACUCUUGUUGAGUCCAAAUCAAGGACCACAUGAAGGAUACUGUGAGUACUCUAUGCCCCCAUCAGACCUAAGUUUUCUUUUCCCAGAUGAAAACCCACAUGUAUGAGGAGGGAGAGUGUAAAAGAGGAGAGCCAAGAUCUCACCCCAAAAUGGAGUCAAAAGCUGGUUGUAUGCACACCUGGAUUUGGGAACUGCAGGAUGAUCCUAGAGUUCAAGACUCAUCUACAUGUAUAGAUACACACAUGGCUGAGUGAGUAUGGAGCUGGCUGCAGCUGCAAGAGUUUUCUGCUUACCAGAAUGCAAUCACACAGAUGUGACUUCCAGGAUAUGAGCUUUUCUUCUGCACCUGCUCCAAAUGCUUUUGCUGUGAUAAUGUUGAUAGAAAG
rnacentral:lncRNA from 1 species